CCUUCCCCUAGAGACAUUGCAGGUAUGGUGGCUGUGUCAUCUGUGUGUCAGGAGGUGACAGAAAGGAGAGAGGCUGUGUCUAUCCUCAGUGUUCCAACCUGUGAAUAUUCGAAUGAUCAGUAGCCUAACACU